CUGGUCUUGACAUCCCAGGAAUCCUGCAGAGAUGCGGGAGUGCCUUCGGGAACCUGGAGACAGGUGCUGCAUGGUUGUCGUCAGCUCGUGUCGUGAGAUGUUGGGUUAAGUCCCGCAACGAGCGCAACCCUUGCCCUUAGUUGCCAUCAUUCAGUUGGGAACUCUAAGGGGACCGCCGGUGACAAACCGGAGAAAGGUGGGGAUGACGUCAAGUCAUCAUGGCCCUUAUGACCAGGGCUACACACGUGCUACAAUGGUCGGUACAGAGGGUCGCCAACCCGCGAGGGGGAGCCAAUCCCUUAAAACCGAUCGUAGUCCGGAUUGCAGUCUGCAACUCGACUGCAUGAAGUCGGAAUCGCUAGUAAUCGCGAAUCAGCCAUGUCGCGGUGAAUACGUUCCC
rnacentral:rRNA from 1 species